rnacentral:lncRNA from 1 species
UGGUACAUAUUACAUCCUAUCCUAUUCCAAAAACAAAGAUAGCUAGGUAAGAUAGUGUCUAGUCUUCUGUUUCUUCUGGAUCCUCAUCGGGGUCUUCCUCUGGGUCUUCCUCUAACAUGCUUUGCUCCGAUCUAUCUGGUAAUGGUAUGGAAAAACUUUCAUUUAGAAUUCUCGAAAAGCACUUAGCCAACGGUCCCUUAACUAGUCUAGAAUUGGUAGCUCGUAAACUGGUAUUCAUGGAUAAGGUUAUAGUCUUCUUAAAGUUUCGCUGUAAAUCACGGCUAAUUCCAUAACUUUCCCGAAGCAAAUAUGUAAGGUCCUCAUACGAAAGGUCAUCGUCAGACCAUAGCACAAUCUCAUUUAUGACUGAGGCCCAAGGUUCUGGAACAGUUUCAUAUAACCUUUGUAUCUUCACCUUAUCCCUUAAACUAUGGUGUAUCUCCCAUAACAUCCCAAUAAUACAGUCUAGCAGGUCCAAAUGUUGUUUGAGACUAUGGAGCGGAUGCAUACGAUAAUUAUAGUAAAAUGCCAAUAAUAUGUCCCGCUUCUUCGCAAAACCACAAGCUUCUGUCCUUGUGGGGGUUCUUACCAUUCGUGCCAUAAUUAGGACAAACAUUGAUUAUGUUACUCUACAAGGUUCUCAUAAAUAUUUAGAUAUAAGUGUUUAUGACUUCGUAAUCUCAAUCAUGACUUGAUUAAAAAUAUUCCCAUAUCCAGCCAUAGAUAUAACAGUUCGUUACAUAAAAAAAACUCAUAAAUUUAAAAAUAAAUUUUACCUUGACCGUUGGUUGAAAGUCAGUUGCUAGCUUCCUCGAUGAUGAAGGAUAGUAACUUUCUUUUAAAAAAACGUCUACAGAAAAGUAAACCUUGCUCUGAUACCAC